CAGAGGAGGGAGGGGGGAGUCUCGCCGCCAUUUGGAACCUAUAAAGUAUCUGGUUUUGCACAUUCGCGCCCAGAAUGUGCAUUGCAUUUGCCUUUAGGGCAUCUGCCUUUCUCUUAAGGCAAAGAAUAAACCACUUACUGUCUCUUUUACUCUUUUCUUCCUGCCUCCAGGUUUAGUUUAUUUAAGUGAGUGGGGCUCCGCGGUUUCAUCUCAUUCACUCAUUUUACAGAAAAAGAAACUGAGGCUGGGAGGGCAGGAUUGGCUCUAGCUACUGCGCCUCCCAGCCCGGGCUCCCAGCUUCCCACUUGACUCCCGGAUGAAGAUUUGGGGCUUCGACUACUGGGAGAGUCAGCCUCUCGCCCUUCCUGGCCAAGGACCUUGGGCAGCGCCAGAGCCAAGUUGCCCCUGCCAGUGUUCCACAAGCAGGAUCUGAACAAACACUUAUUUCCUCAUCAUGGAGAAUCCCAGAGUUGUCAAUUCUUUGGACGUGACCCUCAUCCUACAACAUUUUAGGGGCCCAUCCAGGGAGUUCAUCUUUAGCUCUAGUUCUCCCUAUUUUGAGGACAAUCUCCUUCAAUCCCAAGGACUCCUGACUGGGUUGUCUGCUUUUAAACUGAAAACCAUUGGACCUACAGGACCUAAAAAGAAGUGGCUUGUCUUUUACUACAAUAACGAAUGGCUACAUCAUCCUCUAGAAUUUGGAGAAUGGACAGUCAGCCCUAGUUGUCCACAGGAAACUGUCAGGUAGACACAGGACCUCAGAUCCUACCAUCCUAAAUGCUCCAUGAGACCUUUCAAGUUUUAACAACAGGGAUCUGGCAGAAGCUGAGAAGGACUGUAAGACUUGAACCCAUAACAAGGAACAGACUCAGAUGAUUGCAGCUGCUACCUCUAUCAACCAAAAAAGGAACUCCCAGGAGACCAGCUUGUUUUAAAUGUGGUAAGAAAAUCCAUUGGUCCAAAGACUGCCUGCAGAAGUGGAAGCCACCUGGAAAUGGGACUGCCCAUAAGGUCAAGCCAUGAACCAACCAACCUCCAGGCUUCACAGGAUGGGGUCCAGAGCUCAGUUCAGCUCCCUCCCCCCUCCAUCACUAUGGCCAACCAGUGUUGGAAUAGAUAUGGCAGGCUCCAAGAACAACAUCAAGACACUCAGCUACUCCUGGGAACCUGUGGAGGACUCUUGUUCAAGAAAGAAAAAAGCACAAAACUCAAGUGACUUCCCUCCGAAAUGCUAUGACUACCGGCUUCUUCCUCAGGAUAGUUAUGUAAUACAUUUGGUUCCCUCUUAUUUGUAUCCCUACCAACUGCUGAAAUGACACAAAAGACCCAAAAUGCCAUCUUCCAGCUCUGCAAGCUGUGGCCCAUGGAGAGAACCUUACCAACUGCUGAGUAUGCUAUACCAGCCAUGAUGUAAACCAUAACCAAGCAUCCUUUUGGGGCUCUCUUAAGUCCUUCCUUCCCUCAUGCACCUUGGAGGUAUUCCCUCAUAUCUCCUUUACUUUCACCAUUGCUUCUUUUGCUGUUUUGCCCUUGCCUGUUAAAUUUGUGGCUUCUUGGCUUUCCCAUUCCAGUUUCCAAAUGGUAGUCACUGAGUGGCAGUCCACCUCCACCAGUUAGAUGCUGCUGCUGCUAACUUUCAUUCCCAGAAGCCAUGUGAUGACUCCCACUCCACCAAGUCAUACAGGAGCCCGUACCCAUCCCUGAUCCUUGCUCAUUCAGAUGGAAGUAGUUCUAGAAGACUGACCUUCUCCCAAAGCUGGUUCUGGGCACUGUUAUGUGGAGUGGGGAAUGAUGUGGGCUGCCAUGAAGAGAGAUGUGUCACUCCCUGCAAUCAAUAACUAGUAUGGGGCCACUUUUCAGAUAAGACAUAUGGGUUGCUUGAGAUUUACAAUGAUGAGAAAACUAUACAUCAGUCUUUAGACAUAAUCUAGGUCCUUGGUUAAGGGUCUCUGAACAGCAAGCACAGGUGAUUCAGUUUCCCAGCCACAAAGGCAUAGGUUCAAACAAUGCCUAAUUUUCACAAUCAAGUUGCCCUUCUUGGAACCUGGGUAGAACUAGCAAAAUUUGACCAAAAGUUGCCUCAGGGUGUUUAACAUAUUAUUAGCAUCUUAUUUACAUUGUGGUUUUUGACUCAACGGGGCAAGCAAGGUGCAUCAUAGGUAAAGCCAUAGUGGACUAAAGUGAACCCUGGGUAAAGUGAUGUCUGCUCCUUGGUUACAGAACACUACUACCACCCAAACAAUUGACUUCUUCCUUAACAACCAAUUAAGAUAAAAAGCAUUGUUGACAACUCCUGGGGCAUUAUCUCACUGUACAAACUAGCUAAUUAUCUAUGGGUACUCUAUAGCCAACCCAUCCCAACUAUUGCUUUCCUCACCUAAUAAAGUUUGCUCGACAUGAA